CUUGGUCAUUUAGAGGAAGUAAAAGUCGUAACAAGGUUUCCGUAGGUGAACCUGCGGAAGGAUCAUUAGUGAACGCCCUCACGGGCUUAUAACUAUUCCAAACCUCUGUGAACCGUGCCCUUCGGGGCUAUUUUACAAACAUGGUGUAAUGAACGUCAUAUAUCAUAACAAAACAAAACUUUCAACAACGGAUCUCUUGGCUCUCGCAUCGAUGAAGAACGCAGCGAAAUGCGAUAAGUAAUGUGAAUUGCAGAAUUCAGUGAAUCAUCGAAUCUUUGAACGCACCUUGCGCCCUCUGGUAUUCCGGAGGGCAUGCCUGUUUGAGUGUCAUGUAGACUCAAUCCCUCGGGUUUCCGAGGAGAUUGGACUUGGGUGUUGCCGCUUCUUCCGGCUCACCUUAAAAGACUUAGCGGGAUAGCACCGUAGUCGGCGUAAUAAGUUUCGUCGGUGAAGGUUGUGAUGACUGGUUACAAUCGCCCUCGGGCAAUUUUUGACUCUGACCUCAAAUCAGGUAGGACUACCCGCUGAACUUAAGCAUAUCAAUAAGCGGAGGA
rnacentral:rRNA from 1 species